rnacentral:rRNA from 1 species
AGUGAACGCUGGCGGUAGGCCUAACACAUGCAAGUCGAACGGCAGCACAGUAAGAGCUUGCUCUUACGGGUGGCGAGUGGCGGACGGGUGAGGAAUACAUCGGAAUCUACUUUUUCGUGGGGGAUAACGUCGGGAAACUUACGCUAAUACCGCUUACGACCUAAGGGUGAAAGCAGGGGAUCUUCGGACCUUGCGCGAUUGAAUGAGCCGAUGUCGGAUUAGCUAGUUGGCGGGGUAAAGGCCCACCAAGGCGACGAUCCGUAGCUGGUCUGAGAGGAUGAUCAGCCACACUGGAACUGAGACACGGUCCAGACUCCUACAUGAGGCAGCAGUGGGGAAUAUUGGACACAGGUCGCAAGCCUGAUCCAGCCAUACCGCGUGGGUGAAGAAGGCCUUCGGGUUGUAAAGCCCUUUUGUUGGGAAAGAAAAGCAGCAGGUUAAUACCCCGCUGUUCUGACGGUACCCAAAGAAUAAGCACCGGCUAACUUCGUG